rnacentral:rRNA from 1 species
UUUACUUGUUAUAGGCUUGCGAAACAAGCCUAAUAAUAAGUAAUGUAAGUAUGUAAAGGAAUUAUUACGCAAUUCUAGCUAUGUAUUAAGGAGAGCAAAUUUGAUAUAAAAAGGAAUAUAUAAUAUUUCUAUUUAAUAAGCUCUAGAAGAAAUUUAAUAAUAAACGAAGUAGAGUGAAAUAUCUCAGUAACUUCAGGAAAAGAAAUCAAAAGAGAUUCUAUGAAUAGCGUGACAGAAGUAGACAAGUCUAUUAAGUAAAAUGGUUUAUAAACUGUUUGAAUGGGGACCUUCCUCAAAGACUAAAUAUGAUACAUAAGCGGAUAGAUAAUGGGCCCGUGAGGUAAAUGGAAGUUAGUAGUAAUUUUAUAAGCAGUUCGAAUAGACUUAGUUUAAGCUAAAGAACGUACCUUUUGCAUAAUGGGUCACAAGUUAACAUUAGAUGCGAGAAAAUUUCGUAGUUAAACCAAACGUUAAAAUAACGAUAAGUGUCUAAAGUUAGACCCGAAGCCUAGUGAUUUUACUAUGAUCAGGAUUAUAAAAGUCCGAACGGGUGAUUGUGGCAAAAAUCUCCGAAGAAUCGUGGUAGGUAUAGUGAAAGACAAUACUGACUAGGAUAGCUGGUUUUCUGCGAAACCUAUAACAGUAGGCAAUUUAAGUAAAUAUCUUAGCGGGUACAGAAUUUAAUCUCAGGCAAUAUUUUAUUGCGCAAAUUGGGGAAACGUGAAGAUUUUAUCAGUGAGUAUGUAGACUCGGAAUGGCAAAGAUAUAUCUUGAAUGAUCAGACAUAGAAUGAUAAGGUUGUAUGUCAAAAGGGAAACAGCCCAGAACAAGAGUUAAGGUUCCUAAAUUAUUUGUUAAGUGAAAUUAAGAAGGUUUUUAUUAAAGUCGACAAGGAGAUAGGCUUAGAAGCAGCCAUAAUUUUAUGACCUCGUAACAGAGCGCUUGUUAAGUUAUAAAAGCAUCGAAAAUAUAACGGAUCUAAACAAUAUACCGAAACCUUGUCCAUAAAUUAUUAAUGCGCAAGCUACAUAUUUAAUAUUUGUGGGGUAGAAGAACGUUGAAUUAGGCUAAAUAGCAAGUUUGUAAAUUUGUUAUGUUAAAUCAAGUGAGAAUGGUGACAUGAGUAACGAAAAGAAUAGUAGAUUUAGGUACAUACAUUAAAUAAUAGAUCUUAUUUAAUGCUUACUAGAUCUGCUAUCCGCCUAAAGCUUAUGGUUAGAAUUAAGUAACGGCCUCUAAGCUUUUAAUCUAAAGAUUGAAGCGAUGAGAAAAUCUUUUAUUAUGAAAUAGACGACAUUUAUCUAGUGAAAAAUGUACAGGAAAAAUCGUAAUAUAGUAACCGUACCUAGAAACCGACUAUGGUAAGCUAGUAGAGAAUACGAAGGCGUAAUUGAGAUAACAAUCAUAAAGGAACUCGGCAAAUUGACUAUCGUAACUUCGGGAUAAGUAGGGCUCAUUAUUCUUGAUUAAUAUCAGGUAAAGAGGAAGAAACAUAAAAUAAUGUUGUACGACUGUUUAAUUAAAACACAGCACUUUGCUUAAAGAUUAAAAAUCUAUGUAUAAAGUGUGAUAUCUGCCCGGUGCCGGCUGGCUAACAGAGAUAAUUGAAUAUAUUACUAUUUGAUGUCAACGGAAGCCCCGGUUAAAGGCGGCCUUAACGUGAGGGUCCUAAGGUAGCGAAAUGCCUUGGCCGUUAAAUGCGGUCUUGCAUGAAUGGUGUAACGAUACAACAGCUGUCUCUAUGAUUGACUCAGUGAAAUUGGAAUAGCUGUGCAGAUACAGCUUACCUCUAGUUAGACGAGAAGACCCUAUGCAGCUUUACUGUCACAAAAUAUAGAUUUUGAUGAACAAUUUUCAGACUAAAAGGGAAUUGAUUAAAUAUUCAUGAGAAACCUUUAUUUUUUUCUUCAUUUGAAUGAAUUGAUAUACCUACAAACGUUAGUAUAUCAUCCUAGUUCAGCCUAGUUUCUUAGUUUACUAAAAAAUAGGUCCCUUGGAGAGGAACUAUUGCUAGGGGACAGUUUAUGUGGGGCACAGACCCUGUAAAGAGUAAACAGGUGUGUCUAAUAAUUAUUUUUAUUUUGUUUGCUAUAAUUUUAUAAACCGUAUUUACUUUGAUAUAAUUGUAACAUAGUAUUUCUAUUUUUAUAGCGUAAGCUAUAAAAAUCUAGAAAACUAUAUGAUUAUAUUUAUAUCGAAAAUUUAGGUAAGAUUUUGACUAUACUGAAAUUAGAGAUAAUUUAAAAUUUUAUGUAAUUUUUUACUAAAGUUUUAUAGUUAUUUAAACUUAGGUUUAAAUAAUUAUGUUUUUAAUAUCUAAAAAGCUCAACGGCUUAAUCUUGCCUUACUGUUUGAUUAUCGACAAAUCUUACAGUUGCGUAAGCAGGGCAUAGGAUCACAAGAUGCAAUAAGGAAAGAUCCACUAGAUCUUGGAUUAUUGGAAAAGCUACGCUAGGGAUACAGGCUAAUUUGCGCAAGAGUGUACAAAAUGAGUGCGCGGUUUGGCACCUCGAUGUCGGCUUAACUUAUCCUCAUGGAUGCAGAAACUAUGUAGGGUGCUCUAGAGGGAAUUAGAAUAAAAUAAGAACGAAAUUUUGUACGAAAGGAACAAGAAUGAUUUUUUUUAAAUUAUAGUUACUAACCUAUGGUUUACCUGUUGUUUAUAUGCCCUGUUAUUAAAUAUAUAGAUUGUAUUAAUAUAAAUAUAUUAAUAGAUUAGUAUUAUGUUAGAUCAAUACGAUACUAAUUCAGCAAUGCUAUCUAUAUAGAUGUAUAUAUUUUAAUAUAUACAGAGGAUGUAUCGUUCACUAGGAUAAUAUAUUAUAUAGGCACGGCAGGAAAGCUAAGUUGGUUAAGGAUAAGUGCUGAAAGAUUAUAGGCACGAAGCUUUGAUUGGAUAUGAGUUGUGUAUAAGUAGACAGAUAAUACACAAUAGGCUUUUUUUGUAAGAUUCUAGAGAUUUGUUAGAUGUUAGUACUAAUUUUUUAAGUUACUAUAUAUAUAUUUUUU